rnacentral:rRNA from 1 species
UGCCAGCCGCCGCGGUAAUACAGGGGGGGCUAGCGUUAUUCGGAAUGACUGGGCGUAAAGGGUACGUAGGCGGUUUAUUACGUUGAAGGUGAAAUCCCAAAGCUUAACUUUGGAAUGGCUUUCAAAACGGAUAGACUUGAGGUCGAGAGAGGAUAGUGGAAUUUCUAGUGUAGAGAUAGAAUUCAUAAAUAUUAGAAGGAACACCAGUGGCGAAGGCGACUAUCUGGAUCGAUACUGACGCUGAGGUACGAAAGCAUGGGGAGCAAACAGGAUUAGAUA